UACGUAGGGUGCAAGCGUUGUCCGGAAUUACUGGGUUUAAAGGGUACGUAGGCUGGCAUAUAAGUCUGGAGUGAAAGUUUGAGGCUCAACCUCAAAAGUGCUUUGGAUACUGUAUGUCUAGAAUUAGAGAGAGGUAACUGGAAUUUGUGGUGUAGCGGUGAAAUGCAUAGAUACCACGAGGAACACCAAUUGCGAAGGCAGGUUACUGGCUCUAUAUUGACGCUGAUGUACGAAAGUGUGGGUAGCGAACAGG
rnacentral:rRNA from 1 species